GUCCCUUGGAACAGGGCGUCAUAGAGGGUGAGAAUCCCGUACUUGACAUGAAUCACCAGUGCUCUGUGAUACACUUUCAAAGAGUCGAGUUGUUUGGGAAUGCAGCUCAAAAUGGGUGGUAAAUUCCAUCUAAAGCUAAAUAUUGGCGAGAGACCGAUAGCGAACAAGUACCGUGAGGGAAAGAUGAAAAGCACUUUGGAAAGAGAGUUAAACAGUAUGUGAAAUUGUUAAAAGGGAAACGAUUGAAGUCAAUCAUGUCCUUGGGUCUUACCACCCUUGGAUGGGGUCAACAUCAGUUUUGAUCGGUGGAUAAGGAUAGGAGGAAGGUAGCACUCUCGGGUGAACUUAUAGCCUCCUGUCGCAUACACUGGUUGAGACUGAGGUCUGCUAUUACAGGAUGUUGACAUAAUGGCUUUAAACGACCCGU
rnacentral:rRNA from 1 species